CCACGGGUCGGCGGCGGCGGCGGCGGCGGUCGGGCUUUGGGAUCGAGUGAGGGAGGGAGCGCGCGAGCCUAGGCGGUACCGGCUCUCCUUCGACCUAGCUAAGCGCCGCGAGCCCUUUCUACGGGAGAGCGAGCCCUAGCUCCUCCUAUCCAGGUGGCGGCGGCGGUACCCAAAGCAGCUGCUAGGGUUUCUAGUCGUCGUGGACCUCUUGUCGUAAGGAGACAGGGGAGUCACCGAAAUACGGUUUGGUUCGCUACGGUUCUAAAGUCGACGAGUACCCAGGAACGAACUUGGAAGACUCUUUCUACACUCCUACGAACUUCCGAGACCCCGGUUCUUUCUCGCGGCAGCCUUACGUAAACUACGACCAACCGAACUACUCCUCUCCCUCUGCUCGAAUGAACCCUCCUCCCUAGUGUUCUUCCUUCACCUGGCCCUUCACCUCUUGGCGUUUUUGCUAGCGGCUAGACUGUUACAAAGACGUUCCCUGUUGUUGCUAAGUGCCCGUCGAGGAUGUAGACCUUCCACCCUACUACCGAGGUGGGCUUUAAGUCCCUUACUUCCAUCCGCACUACCUUUUACCAGUAAUUCUACCCCUGGACUGCUGUUCCUCUUCCUGAGGUUUGGUCUUUUCUUCUACCUACGUCUUUUCCUACUUGGAGUACCACUCUUUGUUUGUGAAGGACAUUCCGACGACGGACUCAGUCUGAGGGCACUAUUUACCUCUGGAGCAGUGGCCGUCCUCUGAGUCUGGUCACCAUGUCGCUGUAUGGCACGACGAGGUCCUAAACCAAACCUCUUUCCUGCACACUUCCUUAGUUUACAACCAAAACGGGGACCUUCUCCGUCCCGUUUGGGGUUGAGUCAAGGUAGGAAGUCGGCAGGUAGUAGACGACCCGGUUAACCACGAGGUGGACACAUACCCUCCGCACGCCGUUGACGACCACGAAAAGCGAUGGGUUCCCCAUUUGAAGAACUGUAUAUGUCCGUUGUUUUCCGACACGUCAGUAAACUUCUACCGGCUGCCUACGACCUUCUUCAAGGAGGGUAUUGUGAGAGAUGAAGACAAUUCGGUGAUCGGAAACAGUGGGGACUAUUGUUACUUCUCCGACAAAACCUUCUAUAAUCCUUUCCGUCCCAGUGGUCGUCACUUCGCUGCUUAUGUUGACGUGAGGUUUUCCUCUCUUUGUUUCUAGAACUUCGAAAACCAUAACUACGGUUGUUCCUAUUUUCGCGACUUCGUAAAUCGCCCAAUUCAGUACUUCCUAGACGACGGAAUUAUAGUCUCUUCCUACGGAAAAUGUUACUUCCCUACAAACGUCCACCAUAAUGUCCGGGUGGUUUCUUCGGAUGGCUCCUUUUACGAGGGUCAGUGGGUGUACCUGAAAGACCGUAGUCCCUUCUGUGUUUCAAAUUACUCCAGUUCGGUUCACGACUAUAGCUAGGAUCGUGAUUCAAUGGACUACUAAGUUUACGAGUCAAGUUACAUUUACAACUGAUAGGAUGACCGGUCCGUUCAAUGUGACUUUGUUUUCGACCACCGGUCCUAUCAAUGGGUCUCCUCAACUGGGAUAUGAUAGACCUAGGGGUUCCUCCACACGUCCCAGGUAAAUACCCAUGACUAUAUCAGAGGACCAUACUUCUACCCAUAAAACCUAACCUCGAUGGACACGCAGAUCGAGUCCGAGGUCUACUACGAGGAAAAGCGGGUGAAAGACUGGAGUACGGCAUGGAACCUGUAUUCGGGGUUAGAGAGGGUGGACAUAGGGCACCACCUUCACGACUUAGAGGCCUAAGACAUGUAUUGUUAAAACUUCUACGCGAAGGAUGAAGACCAAGAAAACCCUUCUUACUAGUUUGUAGAUUCCGUCUGAGACCUUUAAUACGUCGAUUAGGAUGUUCUCCACUGGUCCUUCGUGGCCAUGUUAGUGCAUGACCAACCAAGGGGAGUCAACUUCGUGUUUUCUGACUUCGUUUGGGUCUAUAAGCAGUCGUCGCGUAAGGACUUUGACACUCAGUCCUACGACUUCUUCACAACAUGUGACCCUCCGGAUGGUCACCGUACCCAGUUAGAGCUGGUCUAAAACUAUUACUGGCACGUCUAAAGGUUAACUGUAGUGACCUAAGGGCAAGACCCCACCCCCUUCGAUUAAACGGGUUCGUCCUACGGGGAUCUCUCUUACUUGAGUCGGGAGAACCAAACGAAACCAGACUCGACCUUCCCUACGUAGGUUUCGUCGGAGAGAGUAGUUUACACGAACCACAUUUACUCGCCUCUUUAGGGUUUGGCAGUCGAGGGUUCCUGUAAGGUGGUCGUUUAUAGUCCGUACCCGGCGAAUCGGCCUACUUACUUCGGGGACAACACGCACUACUCACCGGACGAUUGGAACCUGCCGACCUGUCGUAUUUACUACGUUUGUACAGUCCCGAUUAAAGGGUCCAACUUGGACUCGAUCCAGUAGACUUAAUACUCCUCGUUUACGAUGAAUGUGUCUAAGCUUCCCUCGUUGACGUCGUCCUUGUUUACUACCCAGCAUUGUUAGACCUUAAAGGACCUGUUAAACGUCCCGUCCACAAACUAAGUAACGUGGUUGUGUCUGUCAGGUAGUUAGGUGGCCGAGGACUCCACCUCGUGGAAAACUCUCAGGUCAAACUUGAACUUGUGGUCGUCGCUGCGGUUGUCGAAGUCGUCCUCGUCGUGGCGGUCGUCGAAGUCGUUCUCGUCGUGGUCUCCGUCGAAGUCGUCCUCGUUGUGGUUUCCGUCGACGUCGUCGCGGUUCGGGUCGACGACGUUGUCGUUGUUGUCGUCGACUAAGAACUUGUUUACAACGUCGUCGUCAACGUCUCAAGUUUGAAGCCUGUUCGAUUGUACCAGCUAGUUCACAAUGAGGCCCUUGUCAAUAACUUACUGAACGUAGUAGUUGGGGUAGUAAAAGUUUCCGUCGUACUACGUCGAUAACUUGUUGAGUAAGUUCGUUUUAAACCCGUACCGGUAGUAUCCCUCGUUGUGUUACUAUACAAUCUACAAGAGAGUGCAAGUUUGGUCUCCGUCCGCGAAGGAAACCUCGUCGUUUAAGAAAAUCCCGACGUGGUACUAGUCGAGGUUUGUGUUGUUAACCGGUUACGAUAUGCCGUUGUACGCCCGUCCCUCCUUCUUGCCGUAAAUUCACCCCCGACCGGUUACCUACUAGGAUCGGUCAAAUAGGCGUGUCCUUGAUCAGGUUUAGUUUCGGUGCGAAGGUCUGAACCAGUUAAGCUAGAAGACGUCAGGGAAGUCUCCAGCAGUAGACACCUCGUAGUACUGGUAGAGCUGGCUUCGAAUAGAUACGUACUUGCUAACGUAUCCCCUCCAGUUCCAUAAGUGAGGGAACUAGCCAGACCGAGAAACGGACCACCACGAGGAAAUGGUUUAGGACUACAACAUUUACGGGAUCGUGCAGUAGUACCGGAGCCAGUCUACCUUUGUGUACCACUAGAUAUAAGACGUCCGGUCUACGGAUACGUACGGAGUCCCCAAGUAGGGGUUGUUGUGUCCGACGUCCUCGUCGACAGUCCAAGAGUGUACCCUUCCGACCUUUCCUUGACCAGUCUACGGUUACCCGUUGACGUUUUAUCGGACUACCUUCGAAGAGCGUAGUUGGUCAACGUUUAACUUCGUCUCUUCGUCUCCUCCUUACACCUUUACUUGGAAGGGUAACUGUUGGGUGUACGUACCCGUAGGGAAUACUUGUUACUCUCCUUGGGUCUUCGACUUAACUCACUAUACUAAGUAGUUUUUGACCAAGAAGUUCGUGUCGUUAGAGCACCAAAGGGACUACAAGGCCGCUGCCGUAGUAAACCUGCAUUUCUGUGAAGAAGUGAGAAACGUGUCGGACGACGUCUAUUGGGAAAUUCUAGUAGACAACUGUCCAACAGAAAACUACUAGGUGAACGUCUUUCCAGUGUAAAGAGUUUUUACCCCGUGAACCCUGUCCUACCUGGUUGAUGAUAUCUAUAAAAUGGCUUGUUAUAACUCUACUUGGCCUUUGAGCCGGAGUCUAGUUCGAGACGCUGUUACGAACUAUACGUUUCCCCUCUUAAGGGUCUACACUACCCACCGUCACGUAGUUGAUUAGUUAACCAACCCUCACGGUCACUACAUCGGUCCUCCUUUUCCGUCCCAAGAUCACGUUUGAACCGUCACCUCCUGUGACUAAAAAGACUUCGCCAGUCGUUGACCCAACUAUGACCGUAGGGUUUCCCUUCGAGGGUAAGGGACGAUUUCGCGUGUCGUUUGGGUGUGCGAUGAUGGAGAGUCCGUCGCAGUUGCCUAGACAGAAGUCGGUAAUCCAGGUUCUUUCGUCCGGUACGAAGAAGACGUAGAAGACUACUCGUAUUCUACCUUGGCCCUCAGUGGAGUCGUCGGGUACGGCAACUUCGGUGACGAAGUCGGUUGUUUCUCCGUCCCAGCAAGCCGUAGGGUGGCUCGUCGUUAGUCCUGCGGAGACCAGGAAGCAAGUCACUUUACGAAUUCUCGUGUUUCUUCGGGGGGAACGUCAUACUGCGGAGACUUAGGCGUCUGCCGCCGGGACCGCCGUUCCCGUGCUUCUUCUUUCGUUUCUUUCCUUUCGUCUAGCUGGGAAGCGAAGACCCGAAGUUCCAGGUGUCGUUGGCGUAGAACUACCCGCUCUAGGUGGCGGGGCUGCUGAUUGUACGAACCCAGUACGGUAAAACACAUGUACGAGUGGAGACAUCUGAGACGUGUACAAAAAAACCAUUGUAAGGAAGGACACCUCCGGUACCGGGGGGAAAACAAGAAAGGGUAAUCGGAAUCCUAUGGGGUCUAGUCGGUCUUACAGUUCAACUUUAAUCCUCCCUCCCGAAAAAAACCACACACAUGGACGCGGGAGCUUAAAUAUGUCCUAUGUACUUAGACAUGUCCUGUGGCCUUAGUACCCGUAAAUACAGUCACUAGAGGAACAUGUCACGUUCCUUCAUAGUAGAAUUAAAGAGUCCGGUAGUAAACAAAGGGGA
rnacentral:rRNA from 1 species